rnacentral:rRNA from 1 species
UACGUAGGGUGCAAGCGUUGUCCGGAUUUAUUGGGUUUAAAGGGUGCGUAGGCGGCCCGUUAAGUCCGGGGUGAAAGCCCACAGCUCAACUGUGGAACUGCCCUGGAUACUGGCGAGCUUGAGUCCAGACGAGGUUGGCGGAAUGGAAGCUGUAGCGGUGAAAUGCAUAGAUAGCUUCCAGAACCCCGAUUGCGUAGGCAGCUGACUAGGCUGGUACUGACACUGAGGCACGAAAGCGUGGGGAGCGAACAGG